GAUGGACUGUCCCCACCCUGCAGAUUGAGGAGAGCACCACAGUGGUCACCACACAGUCCGCCGAGGUUGGAGCUGCUGAGACGACGCU
rnacentral:pre_miRNA from 1 species